GACGAACGCUGGCGGCGCGCUUAACACAUGCAAGUCGAGCGGUAAGGCUCCUUCGGGAGUACACGAGCGGCGAACGGGUGAGUAACACGUGAGUAAUCUGCCCUUCACUUCGGGAUAACCACCGGAAACGGUGGCUAAUACCGAAUACGACCAGUCUUCGCAUGAGGUGCUGGUGGAAAGUCUUUUCGGUGAAGGAUGUGCUCGCGGCCUAUCAGCUUGUUGGUGGGGUAAUGGCCUACCAAGGCUUCGACGGGUAGCCGGCCUGAGAGGGUGACCGGCCACACUGGGACUGAGACACGGCCCAGACUCCUACGGGAGGCAGCAGUGGGGAAUAUUGGACAAUGGGCGAAAGCCUGAUCCAGCAACGCCGCGUGAGGGAUGACGGCCUUCGGGUUGUAAACCUCUUUCAGUACCGACGAAGCGCCCUGUCGGGUGGUGACGGUAGGUACAGAAGAAGGACCGGCCAACUACGU
rnacentral:rRNA from 1 species